rnacentral:rRNA from 1 species
GCGCCUAAUACAUGCAGUCGAGCGAAUCAAUAGGAGCUUGCUCCUGUUGGUUAGCGGCGGACGGGUGAGUAACACGUGGGCAACCUGCCUGUAAGACUGGGAUAACACCGGGAAACCGGUGCUAAUACCGGAUAAUCCUUUUCCUCUCAUGAGGAAAAGCUGAAAGUCGGUUUCGGCUGACACUUACAGAUGGGCCCGCGGCGCAUUAUCUAGUUGGUGAGGUAACGGCUCACCAAGGCGACGAUGCGUAGCCGACCUGAGAGGGUGAUCGGCCACACUGGGACUGAGACACGGCCCAGACUCCUACGGGAGGCAGCAGUAGGGAAUCUUCCACAAUGGACGAAAGUCUGAUGGAGCAACGCCGCGUGAAGGCGAUGAAAGCCCUUCGGUUUGUAAAAAUUUUGUGGUUAGGGAAGAACCAAAGUACCGGGAGUUAACUGACUGAUACCUUGACGGUUCCUUAACCAGAAAGCCCAGGGCUUAACUUCGUGCCUCAGCAACCGCGGUUAUAUACGUAAGGUUGUCCAAGCUUUGUACCCGGAAUUUUUGGGGGUAAAAGCGCGCGCAAGGCGGUCCUUUUAAGUCUGAUGUGAAAGCCCACGGCUCAACCGUGGAGGGUGUCAGUUGGAAACUGGGGGACUUGAGUGCAGAAGAGGAAAGCGGAAAUUCCCACGUGUAGACGGUGAAAAUGCGUAGCAGAUGUGGAUGGAGACAACUUGCCAUUGGCGAAGGCGGUCUUUAUCUUGUCUGUCACUGGCUCUGAGGCGAGAUAUUACGCUGUGGAGAACACAACAGUAUUAGACCGCUAUCCCUUGUAGUUACACUUAUAUCCCCGUAAAGCUUGAUUGAUGUCGCAAAGUGUUAGGGGGUUAUCCCCCCCUUAGUGCUCUGCAAUAAAACGUAUCACUUAAGCACUGCGCCUGGGGAAUACUUGGGCGCAAUGGGUAACACUCAUGAGUUUCAUAUUCACGGGGCCCUCUGUUUUUUUUGCACAAGCGGAAUUAUGCGAUGGACAAGUUCGUCUGUUUAAUUCGAUAGCAACGCGAAGCCCCAUGGCAUACCUAUCUUUUGUACCUCCUCCUGACACUCAGAGCAUAUUUUUACCGGACGUUCCCUCGUUCGGGGGACAGAGUGACAGGUGGUGCAUGGUUGUCGUCAGCUCGUGUCGUGAGAUGUUGGGUUAAGUCCCGCAACGAGCGCAACCCUUGAUCUUAGUUGCCAGCAUUCAGUUGGGCACUCUAAGGUGACUGCCGGUGACAAACCGGAGGAAGGUGGGGAUGACGUCAAAUCAUCAUGCCCCUUAUGACCUGGGCUACACACGUGCUACAAUGGAUGGUACAAAGGGCUGCAAGACCGCGAGGUUUAGCCAAUCCCAUAAAACCAUUCUCAGUUCGGAUUGCAGGCUGCAACUCGCCUGCAUGAAGCCGGAAUCGCUAGUAAUCGCGGAUCAGCAUGCCGCGGUGAAUACGUUCCCGGGCCUUGUACACACCGCCCGUCACACCACGAGAGUUUGUAACACCCGAAGUCGGUGGGGUAACCGUAAGGAGCCAGCCG